UACGGAGGGGGCUAGCGUUGUUCGGAAUUACUGGGCGUAAAGCGUGCGUAGGCGGUUUGCUAAGUUGGGCGUGAAAGCCCGGGGCUCAACCCCGGAACUGCGUUCAAAACUGACAAACUAGAGGCCGGGAGAGGAGAGCGGAAUUCCCAGUGUAGAGGUGAAAUUCGUAGAUAUUGGGAAGAACACCAGUGGCGAAGGCGGCUCUCUGGCCCGGUUCUGACGCUGAGGCACGAAAGCGUGGGGAGCGAAC
rnacentral:rRNA from 1 species